AGCAGCCGCGGUAAUUCCAGCUCCAAUAGCGUAUAUUAAAGUUGUUGCAGUUAAAAAGCUCGUAGUUGAAUUUCGGGAUUAGUACGCUGGUCGUGCCUUCGGUACGUACUGGUGUUACUGAUUUCUACCUUCUGACGAACCAUCAUUUCAUUAAUUUGGUGUGGUGGGGAAUCAGGACUGUUACUUUGAAAAAAUUAGAGUGUUUAAAGCAGGCUCGCGCUUGAAUACAUUAGCAUGGAAUAAUGAAAUAGGACGUUGAUCCUAUUUUGUUGGUUUCUAGGAUUGACGUAAUGAUUAAUAGGGAUAGUUGGGGGCAUUAGUAUUCAAUUGUCAGAGGUGAAAUUCUUGGAUUUAUUGAAGACUAACUACUGCGAAAGCAUUUGCCAAGGAUGUUUUCAUUAAUCAAGAACGAAAGUUAGGGGAUCGAAGACGAUCAGAUACUGUCGUAGUCUUAACCAUAAACUAUGCCGACUAGGGAUCGGAUGAUGUUAUUUUUAAUGACUCAUUCGGCGCCUUACG
rnacentral:rRNA from 1 species